rnacentral:rRNA from 1 species
UACAGAGGGGGCAAGCGUUAUUCGGAAUUAUUGGGCGUAAAGGGCGCGUAGGCGGAUUUACAAGUCAGUGGUGAAAUCUCCCAGCUCAACUGGGAAACUGCCAUUGAAACUGUUUAUCUUGAGUACAUUUGAGGCGGGCGGAAUGUGUCAUGUAGAGGUGAAAUUCUUAGAUAUGACACAGAACACCAAUUGCGAAGGCAGCUCGCUAAACUGUAACUGACGCUGAGGCACGAAAGCGUGGGGAUCAAACAGG